AUCUUGUAUAGGUCUGUCUAGGACACAUCUAAAUGUGACAUAACUAUGUCACAUCUAAGCUGAUGUCAACUCUGUUUGUGGUCUAUUUUUUUUAUCCUAGUUUUUUUAUUUCUUAUUGCUACAUUAUAUAUUUGUAGGAGCUUAGAUGUGACAUCCUUAAAAACAUCUAGAUGUGAAUUAAACAAACUGAUCUU
rnacentral:pre_miRNA from 1 species